GCAGUCGCCACGGUAAUACGGAGGGUGCAAGCGUUAAUCGGAAUUACUGGGCGUAAAGCGCACGCAGGCGGUCUGACAAGUCAGAUGUGAAAUCCCCGGGCUUAACCUGGGAACUGCAUUUGAAACUGUCAGGCUGGAGUCUUGUAGAGGGGGGUAGAAUUCCAGGUGUAGCGGUGAAAUGCGUAGAGAUCUGGAGGAAUACCGGUGGCGAAGGCGGCCCCCUGGACAAAGACUGACGCUCAGGUGCGAAAGCGUGGGGAGCAAACAGGAUUAGAGACCCCAGUAGUCCCUGUCUCUUAUAU
rnacentral:rRNA from 1 species